ensembl:rRNA 5S_rRNA 5S ribosomal RNA
GUCUACAGCCAUGCCACCCUGAACGUGCCUGAUCGUGUCUGAUCUUGGAAGCUAAGCAGGGUUGGAUGGGAGACCACCUACUUGGAUGGGAUACCACCUAUGAAUACCAGGUGCUGUAGGCU